GUGGGGAAUAUUGCACAAUGGGCGGAAGCCUGAUGCAGCAACGCCGCGUGAGGGAUGACGGCCUUCGGGUUGUAAACCUCUUUUAGCAGGGAAGAAGCGAAAGUGACGGUACCUGCAGAAAAAGCGCCGGCUAACUACGUGCCAGCAGCCGCGGUAAUACGUAGGGCGCAAGCGUUAUCCGGAAUUAUUGGGCGUAAAGAGCUCGUAGGCGGUUUGUCGCGUCUGCUGUGAAAACCCGAGGCUCAACCUCGGGCCUGCAGUGGGUACGGGCAGACUAGAGUGCGGUAGGGGAGAGUGGAAUUCCUGGUGUAGCGGUGGAAUGCGCAGAUAUCAGGAGGAACACCGAUGGCGAAGGCAGAUCUCUGGGCCGUAACUGACGCUGAGGAGCGAAAGCGUGGGGAGCGAACAGGAUUAGAAACCCUUGUAGUCC
rnacentral:rRNA from 1 species